AAAUAAACAACGUUUUUAAAGACCAACCGUAAACAUCCAUGUAUCCAAAGGUAGACCCCCACUCACCGUAUGUCAUGAUGGGAUCAAGGAGUGAUGUGACCACCAGAUGCAAAGGAUUUGAAAGGAUUGUUAUGAAACUGUGUAGAGCCACUGAGAGAAUUCAUUCUUGAAUAUGAUGUAUUUGAAGAACUACCUAAAUUUAUGCAAAAAAAAAAUUAAAUUGUUAUUUAAAAUUGCCUAGUGUUAUGAAUGAAGGUGGGUUUUUGUGACAAAGAGAAUACAACGAG
rnacentral:lncRNA from 1 species